GAUGAACGCUGGCGGCGUGCCUAAUACAUGCAAGUCGAGCGAACGGACGAGAAGCUUGCUUCUCUGAUGUUAGCGGCGGACGGGUGAGUAACACGUGGAUAACCUACCUAUAAGACUGGGAUAACUUCGGGAAACCGGAGCUAAUACCGGAUAAUAUUUUGAACCGCAUGGUUCAAAAGUGAAAGACGAUCUUGCUGUCACUUAUAGAUGGAUCCGCGCUGCAUUAGCUAGUUGGUAAGGUAACGGCUUACCAAGGCAACGAUGCAUAGCCGACCUGUGAGGGUGAUCGGCCACACUGGAACUGAGACACGGUCCAGACUCCUACGGGAGGCAGCAGUAGGGAAUCUUCCGCAAUGGGCGAAAGCCUGACGGAGCAACGGCGCGUGAGUGAUGAAGGUCUUCGGAUCGUAAAACUCUGUUAUUAGGGAAGAACAUAUGUGUAAGUAACUGUGCACAUCUUGACGGUACCUAAUCAGAAAGCCACGGCUAACUACGUG
rnacentral:rRNA from 1 species